AUGGAGAGUUUGAUCCUGGCUCAGGAUGAACGCUAGCGGGAGGCCUAACACAUGCAAGCUGAGCGGUAGAGAUCUUUCGGGAUCUUGAGAGCGGCGUACGGGUGCGGAACACGUGUGCAACCUGCCUUUAUCUGGGGGAUAGCCUUUCGAAAGGAAGAUUAAUACCCCAUAAUAUAUUAAGUGGCAUCACUUGAUAUUGAAAACUCCGGUGGAUAGAGAUGGGCACGCGCAAGAUUAGAUAGUUGGUGAGGUAACGGCUCACCAAGUCGAUGAUCUUUAGGGGGCCUGAGAGGGUGAUCCCCCACACUGGUACUGAGACACGGACCAGACUCCUACGGGAGGCAGCAGUGAGGAAUAUUGGACAAUGGGCGAGAGCCUGAUCCAGCCAUGCCGCGUGCAGGAAGACUGCCCUAUGGGUUGUAAACUGCUUUUAUACAGGAAGAAACCUAUCUACGUGUAGAUAGCUGACGGUACUGUAAGAAUAAGCACCGGCUAACUCCGUGCCAGCAGCCGCGGUAAUACGGAGGGGGCUAGCGUUGUUCGGAAUUACUGGGCGUAAAGCGCACGUAGGCGGAUUAGUCAGUCAGAGGUGAAAUCCCGGAGCUCAACUCCGGAACUGCCUUUGAUACUGCUAGUCUUGAGUUCGAGAGAGGUGAGUGGAAUUCCGAG
rnacentral:rRNA from 1 species